GAAGCUGGAAUCGCUAAUAAUCGCGAAUCAGAAUGUCGCGGUGAAUACGUUCCCGGGUCUUGUACACACCGCCCGUCACACCAUGGGAGUCGGAAAUGCCCGAAGUCAGUGACCUAACCGAAAGGGAGGAGCUGCCGAAGGUGGAGCCGGUAACUGGGGUGAAGUCGUAACAAGGUACC
rnacentral:rRNA from 1 species